GAGGAGAGAGAGAGAAGGAUGACAUGGAAUGAGGAGAGAGAGAAGGGCGACCUGGAAUGAGGAGAGAGAGAAAAGGGCGACAUGGUGUGAGGAAAGAAAGAAGGGCGGCAAGGAGUGAGGAGAGAGAGAAGGGGGAUGAGGAAGAGAGAGAAAGGAGAGAUAGGCGACAAGGGUAUCUCAGAAGGGCGACAUGGAAGCAUGAAGGGCGAUGAUAGUAUAUGAGAAGGGCGAGAUGGAAGCAGGAAGGGCAGUGAGGCCUUUCUUCCGUUCUCAUUCUAUUCAUUGGUUGCUUCGUACACUUUUGGAACCAUUUCGUUUGUUUUACGUAAGUUUUUCCGUAAAGAUUUUCUCAAAGUUGUUUUUGCGGAA
rnacentral:lncRNA from 1 species